rfam:Marinobacter sp. BSs20148, complete genome.
UAUGCGGUGCCUGGCAUACGGAACACUCUACGGAACAUUCUUCGGAACAGCCGUAAUCGUGACCAGGUGGCGGCAUAACCUGACGAGGU